rnacentral:rRNA from 1 species
GACGGAGGAUGCAAGCGUUAUCCGGAAUGAUUGGGCGUAAAGCGUCCGUAGGUGGCUAUUCAAGUCUGCUGUUAAAGCGCAGGGCUUAACCCUGUAAAGGCGGUGGAAACUGGAGAGCUAGAGUGUGGUAGGGGUAGAGGGAAUUCCCGGUGUAGCGGUGAAAUGCGUAGAGAUCGGGAAGAACACCAGUGGCGAAAGCGCUCUACUGGGCCACAACUGACACUGAUGGACGAAAGCUAGGGGAGCGAACGGG